rnacentral:lncRNA from 1 species
AGUCUCUAAGGGAGGAGGCCGGAGCGCCUCCCUGUAAUCCCGAAGGAAUUGAAAACUAACAAAGAAAAGGAAAUCACGGGCUAGGUCGCGAGUAUCUCGUUGUCACCCUGAAUUUGCUACUGCGUAUUGAAUCACAGCUUCUUGUUUGGGGACUGCGAAGCUAUGGAUCAUAGGAGGGCAAGCCAGCAGUCCUUUAUCAGACAAAUAUGCUUUUAAAUCAUUUUAAAGAUUUGUAGUUCCACUGUUUCUAAGCACUGUGUUAAUUAUUGGGGAUACUGUGCUUCAUCACAAAUUUCCAAGAGAUGGUGUCCCGAGACUAAGCAUUUAAAAUUUUGUGAAGGUUUUUUGAUUUUUUUUUUUUUUUUUUUUGAGACGAAGUCUCACUCUGUCGCCCAGGCUGAAGUGUGCAGUGGCGCGAUCCCGGCCCACUGCAACCUCUGCCUCCCGGGCUCAAGUGAUUCUCCUUCCUCAGCCUCCCGAGUAGCUGGGAUUACAGGCGUGCGCCACCAUGCCCGGCCUUAUUUUUGUUUUUUUGAGACACAACCUCACUGUCCCCCGGGAUGGAGUGAAGUGGCGCAAUCAGGGUUCACUGCAGCCUAGACCUGCUGGGCUCAAGCCAUCCUCCCACCUCAGCCUCCAAGUAGCUGGGAUUACAGGCGCACACCACCAAUGCCCAGCUAAUUUUUGUAUUUUUAGUAGAGAUGGGGUUUCCCCACAUUGCCCAGGCUGGUCUGGAACUCAUGGCCUCAAGCGAUCUGCCCCGCUCUGCCUCCCAAAGUGCUGGGAUUACAAGUGUGAGCCACCGUGUCCACCGGGGAAGGCUUUUGGUCAGAACAAUGGCUGGCAAAACCACAGGCAUCGGAAGGCCAGAGCUAGGGAUAUAAUAUAAAU